rfam:Candida albicans strain TIMM 1768 chromosome 1, complete sequence
UCCAACUAAUCAUUCUAUAGCUGAUUUAGCAGCAAUCAGUCUAGCCAGCAGAGCCAAUAGAAUCAUUUCAGUUGGA